rnacentral:tRNA from 1 species
AGGGAGUUAGGAUAAACUAGACCAUGGACCUUCAAAGCCCAAAGCAAGAGUGAGAAUCUCUUACCCCCUG